AGAGUUUCGAGUCCUGGCUCAGGACGAACGCUGGCGGCGUGCUUAACACAUGCAAGUCGAGCGGUAAGGCCCUUCGGGGUACACGAGCGGCGAACGGGUGAGUAACACGUGAGCAACCUGCCCCUGACUCCGGGAUAAGCGGCGGAAACGCCGUCUAAUACCGGAUACGACUCUCCGGCUCAUGCUGGAGGGUGGAAAGUUUUUCGGUUGGGGAUGGGCUCGCGGCCUAUCAGUUUGUUGGUGGGGUAACGGCCUACCAAGGCGAUUACGGGUAGCCGGCCUGAGAGGGUGACCGGCCACACUGGGACUGAGACACGGCCCAGACUCCUGCGGGAGGCAGCAGUGGGGAAUCUUGCGCAAUGGGCGAAAGCCUGACGCAGCGACGCCGCGUGGGGGAUGACGGCCUUCGGGUUGUAAACCUCUUUUACCACUUACGCAGGCCCGGGGUGUUCUCCGGGUUGACGGUCAGUGGGGAAUAAGGACCGGCUAACUACGUG
rnacentral:rRNA from 1 species